rnacentral:misc_RNA from 1 species
UGUGUGAAGUGGCGCGGGUGCAUUAGACCUUAUUUUUUUUCUCCUCUCCGCUGCUCUUGGCGAUCUAGUGCGUAUACGCGUUCGUGGCGUGGAUUUCACAAGGAACGUUUGUAGAAGCACUUCCGUCCCCCAGCAUACUCACAAGAGGAAGUUGCCCUCAGAACAGCAUGACGGCAGGUGCCAAGCCAACCGACUUGCUCUUCUUGCUUCGCUUUCCGCCUCUGUAUUGUUUGCCGUGUUCGACAUAUCCUCAGCAGCACUGUGCUGUGUGCCUGAGUGCGCUACGCGCGCUUCUUUGUUCUCACGUCGUUGUCGCUGCGCUUUUCAGCCGCAGUCUUCUCGUUUUUCCUCCUGUUCUUACUCUUCUCAUCAUUUCGUGGCGUUCUCUGUAUGUCGUUCAGUUGUAUGCGUAACUCUGGCUGCGAGUGUCUUGACGUGUGCGCGCGACCUUAUUUAGUGUUCGGCACUCUUUGGUCGUCCGCACCCUCUGCGCAUUCCUUUUAGGACUCGCUCCUCCCGAUGAUGUUGACGGUUGGUGUUGUCGUUGCUUCUCUCUCAGUCUGUCUGUCCGUGUGUACCCUUCUCUCUUUACUCGUGCUUCUCCCUCCCUACUAAUCACUCCCUCUCGUGGUCUUCCUGAACGGAUUGCGCGAGUAUUACGGACACACACGUAUGCGAACUCGGAAG